ACGCUGAAACCGCCGAGUUCGCCGGACGCAGCCAGCGGUCGGCGAAGCCGGGGACCCACCGACAGUUCCCCUGGGCAGGCAGGAGCCGGCCGGCUCCGUCGGACCCAAUGGAGGGUGUUCCCCCGGGGUGAAUCCGUUCCGGCGCACCCGGGCGCGCCGGUCGCGGUAGGGCUGCUCCUAGCCCGAACCCGUCAGCUAACCCGGUAGGCGGUCCAGGAAGGAGAU
rnacentral:sRNA from 2 species